rnacentral:sRNA from 1 species
CCACCCCAUGUCCUGCUGUCUGGUCUCACCGGUGGGUGCUCCAGGCACCUGUGUAUGCCCUUGUCUGUCUGGCCAGGUGUGAUCCUAGGAGCGCCCCUGGCCUCCAGCUGCCCAGGAGCCUGUGGUACCAGCUUCCCAGAUGGCCUCACCCCUGAGGGAACCCAGGCCUCUGGGGACAAGGACAUUCCUGCAAUUAACCAAGGGCUCAUCCCGGAAGAAACCCCAGAGAGCAGCUUCCUCAUUGAGGGGGACAUCGUCCGGCCGAGUCCCUUCCGACUGCUGUCAGCAACCAGCAACAAGUGGCCCACGGGUGGUGGUGGUGUCGUGGAGGUCCCCUUCCUGCUCUCCAGCAAGUACGGUGAGUGCAAGUACGGUGAGUGAGCAUGGCGGGCUCCCUCCCUGCCUCAGCCCCUUCUUCCUAAUGUGGCAGAGGUGUUCCUCUCUUCCCUUUUCCUCUUCCACCACCACAUCCCCUCCACCUCCCCACCCAAAGAACCUGUCCACAGAAGCCCUUCUGUUCCUGAAGGUCUCCUGAGUAGGGAGCCGUUAAAAUCCUGGGAGAACUGAUGGGAAGGUAUGUCUAGGGGGAUCUGGUUCCCCUUGAGAUGGGGAUCUGGUUCCCCAUGCGGUGCAGAGGACAGUGACCUACCCAAGGCCACACAGCCAGGGUCUGUCUGGGAC